GCUCCAAUGGCCUAGUGGUUAGAGCAUCCACCUCGGAUGCGGAAGAUUGCGGGUUCGAACUCCGACCAAGCC